rnacentral:rRNA from 1 species
UACAUGGGGUGCAAACGUUGCUCGGAAUUAUUGGGCGUAAAGCGCGCGUAGGCGGUUACUUAAGUUGGAUGUGAAAGCCCUCGGCUUAACUGAGGAAGUGCAUCCAAAACUGAGUAGCUAGAGUACGAAAGAGGGUCGCGGAAUUCCCGGUGUAGAGGUGAAAUUCGUAGAUAUCGGGAGGAACACCGGUGGCGAAGGCGGCAUUCUGGACCGAUAUUGACGCUGAGGAGCGAAAGCCAGGGGAGCAAACGGG